AUUGAACGCUGGCGGCAUGCUUUACACAUGCAAGUCGAGCGGCAGCGCGGGGGGCAACCCUGGCGGCGAGCGGCGAACGGGUGAGUAAUGCAUCGGAACGUACCCUGGAGUGGGGGAUAACGCCGCGAAAGCGGCGCUAAUACCGCAUAUGCUCUGAGGAGGAAAGUGGGGGACCGCAAGGCCUCACGCUCUGGGAGCGGCCGAUGUCCGAUUAGCUAGUUGGUGGGGUAAAGGCUUACCAAGGCGACGAUCGGUAGCUGGUCUGAGAGGAUGAUCAGCCACACUGGGACUGAGACACGGCCCAGACUCCUACGGGAGGCAGCAGUGGGGGAAGUUUUGGACAAUGGGGGCAACCCUGAUCCAGCCAUGCCGCGUGAGUGAAGAAGG
rnacentral:rRNA from 1 species